AUCCAAUCACCCGCACUCCACAACCCUCACUCCCUCCUCGAUCUCUCUCCCUCAGCCACCACAAACCCUAGGUAUCCCCUUCUACCCUGCUCUCCACCGCGCCUCCUCCUCCUCCCCUUCACCAUUCCCUCCAGCGGCAGGCACAGGGAGACGACGGCGGCGCUCGAUUUGAUCCGCCCCGCUCCCCUCCCUCUCCACUGCGCCUCGGCCUCGGCCGCCCCGUGCUCUGCCGGUGCCUGUCGGCCUCGAUCCGGCCUCGGCAGGAGGAGCUUGCCCUCGAGACAGGAGGAGGGGAGCAGCAGGAUACAGGAGCAUGGCCUUCUUCUCGCGCUGCAGCCGCCAGCCUUGUCCUGCUCGAGGAGGAGGAGCAGCAGGAGGGGCGCACCCAGCCACCCAGGUAGCCGUCGUCGAGGGCUUCUUACACCUGAACCACGAUCUCCACGGUGUUGGCGUCCAGCAACUCGAGUUCAAGGGAAGGAGAGGAUGAUGACGCCCAGACAUGGAGAGGAUCAACAGCAGCUCAAGUGCCUGCUUAUAAUGUGGUGAAGCUACAGGGAAGAGGGAGGAAGCCGGCGACAGGGUGAAGGAGCAGGCCGGCCCUCAUGGAGGCAGCGCUACCAGCCAGCUAGGGAGGCGGUCCGACUCGCCUCUGCUAUGCCGUGAGUGGCGGCGCUACCUCUGCCUCCAGCCUCACCUCCUCUGCCAACCAUGGGAAAAUUUAGGGGAGACCCAAGAAUAAUAAUUCAAGCGGAUGGCCAAUGCGCCUUGGUGUUUAGCGGUAUGAUGGUCGGUGAAAGUAUGUUAUAUAUAUAUUGCAAGGAUCAUAAGAUGCCUUUACACAUGAUUGUGUGAUGCUCAGAAACAUUUUGCACAGUAGAAACUUCUUGUGAAGCUUGAUUUUAUUCAGAGCCAUAUGAUUUUUUUAUAGAAACAUGUGCAGAGUAAAAUGGACACAUCUUCUGGUACAUCUGAGCACCAACGACCACAAUGGGAUGCAUCAAGCAGCCAAGACUCAGAGUGUGGUCGGGCAGCGCCAUGGGGCAGAUCUGUGCGGCGCAAGGGGUGGCAGAUGCGAAACUGAAGCUUCCCCGAACUUCGGAGCAGUCAAUUGAGCAGAUGGACACGACGAGUGAGGAUUGGUGCUACCGCCCCUGGUAGGAGCCCAAUGUCCUAAUCGAACUACUGUCAUGGAGAGGGCAAUACUUGGAUUUGCUUCAGAUAUUGGAGAUAACGCCAUUGUGCCGAAGCUCGGAACAAUCUUCGAUACAUUGGGUGAAGCUUACGAUUUUUACAAUCUGUAUUUAUAAGAGAAAGGAUUUGGCAUUCGAUAUGGUAAAAGCUGUCUGAAUGUCGAGAGGACGUGGAAAUCUAUUGGGGAUAAUACUGGUCUUGCCGGUGUUAGUGCCCUACUCUGAUAAGGCUGCUGCAGUCUGAACCAUUCAUUGUAUCGCACGUAUGCACAGACGAUACACUGACGAUCGCACAAGCACAUCAACGUGUACAGCAGGUAUUUGAUGAAGAAUUUGAGGCAGAACAAUGUGAACCUUGCUAAAGUGCACAACAUUAGGCAGUUUCCUUGGGUUGAUGGAGAAUGUGCCUUUCACAAAAAGAGCUUCAAGGAGCUUGUGUGGCAAAAUAAGCCGCGAGCAACCGGCUGAUGAUGUUAGUUAAACGAUGGAGGUGUUUGCGGAGCUUGGUUCAAAGGAUCCUCACUUCAAAUAUCAUGUGCAUGCCGAUAAGGAGGGAAGGAUAAACGCACUCAUGUGGGAAAAUGGGGACAGUAGGCUGGUGCAAAAAAGACUGUAGCUUAUUCUCAAAUUUUCUAUCUCCAAUACUGAAUCUGGUGUGUACCGAUAAAUCAUGUAGCGUGUGAGAUCCAUCAUGCAGUUUAACUGCUAAUCCCAAUUAUGUUAUGCAUGCCCUGAAGCUGAUGAAUUUGUGUUCUCCUAUACUGAAAUGUCAAAUUGAUUGUGUGUAUGAUUGGAUACUUCUGCA
rnacentral:rRNA from 1 species